GGGGANGGNAGGGGCGNAGCCUGAUCCAGCCAUGCCGCGUGUGUGAAGAAGGCCUUUUGGUUGUAAAGCACNUUUGCGAGGAGGAGGCUACUUGGAUUAAUACUCUAGGAUAGUGGACGUUACUCGCAGAAUAAGCACCGGCUAACUCUGUGCCAGCAGCCGCGGUAANACGAAU
rnacentral:rRNA from 1 species